ensembl:lncRNA
GCGGCAGCUGCUGGGCGAAGCCGGCCACCUUCUCCGGGCGCUUUCAGCCGCCCACGCCCGCUCUUCCGGCCGCGCCAGACAAUCGGGCCCUUUCUCUGCCCAAUUAGCUAUCACUUCUGGAGGCCGGCGCUGUCCAGCGGCCGCGGGCCCGCGGCGGCGGCAGCAGGCCGGGCGGGAGGGGCCGGGCGGCCCGGCGGGAGGGCCGGCGGGAGCUGUGCGGAUGAAAGGGGAGCAGAGGGGCGCGAAGGGACUCAAGCCAGGGAGAAAGCUGAGGAGCCUCCAUUCUUGAAUUUGUCCUCCAUCUACAAAGUGAAAAUGAGCCCAGCCCUCACUAUGACCUACAAAGGCUCUGUCGAGAGUGCUCCAAGCCUGACUGUGCCCUGGGUGGGAAGCCAGGGCACAUUUCCACCUCCAUCCACAGAGAGAGCCACCAGCCAGUGGCCUGGCCAGGUGUCCAGCGUGUCUGCAGAGUAGACUGUCAGGGUCAUGGAGUCCUCCGCUUCCUGUUCAGAUGUCCCCGGGCCUCUGGAGUUGGGGAGGCCAAGGUCAGCAAGCCCUUCAGGAGAGAAAGUGAACAGUCUCCUUCCCUGGACGGGGUCCAGCCAGCCCAGAAUGGUCUUGUCCUGGGGACAUCCCAGAUCACAGGAGUCACCCCAGCGCCCAGGGAUUCACACCCUCCCAGUCCACCUUUCACCAGGGACUGACCCCAGGAGGGAUGAAAGGCAAGCUCCUCUGCUGGGGGUCAAGGCAAGUUCAAAGGUCACACAGCCCUCACAUCGCCCCCCGAGAUCACGAGUCCCCAGGCCGGAGCGAGACAAAGUGAACCCCUCUUGGAUCGUGGGGGCUGCAGAGACCUGCCUGCAAAAGAAGCGAUUACGUCUCGAUUUCCUCUGCUGUGAAGCUACAGUUGAGUCUUUGGCUUACAGGGCUGUUGGUCUCUCUCGAUGAUUUUCCAGGCGGGAUUCUUUACCAGCUGAGAGCCUGUGCUCCACUACAGAAGACGUCACCAAGGAAGACGCUCCUACACUGAAACUAGAGAGUGGUCCCCACUUGCUGCAGCGAGAGACAAGCCUGCGCAUCAGCUAAGACCCAGCACAGCCAAAGUACCUAAAUAAAAUACUUUUUUAAA